CGCGUGUACUGGUCCGGCCGGGUCUUUCCCUCUGUGGAACCCCAUGCCCUUCACUGGGUGUGGCGGGGAAACAGGACUUUUACUUUGAAAAAAUUAGAGUGCUCCAGGCAGGCCAAUGCUCGAAUACAUUAGCAUGGAAUAAUAGAAUAGGACUGUGGUUCUAUUUUGUUGGUUUCUAGGACCGCCGUAAUGAUUAAUAGGGACAGUCGGGGGCAUCAGUAUUCAAUAGUCAGAGGUGAAAUUCUUGGAUUUAUUGAAGACUAACUACUGCGAAAGCAUUUGCCAAGGAUGUUUUCAUUAAUCAGGAACGAAAGUUAGGGGAUCGAAGACGAUCAGAUACCGUCGUAGUCUUAACCAUAAACUAUGCCGACUAGGGAUCGGGCGAUGUUAUUUUUUGACUCGUUCGGCACCUUACGAGAAAUCAAAGUGCUUGGGCUCCAGGGGGAGUAUGGUCGCAAGGCUGAAACUUAAAGAAAUUGACGGAAGGGCACCACCAGGGGUGGAGCCUGCGGCUUAAUUUGACUCAACACGGGGAAACUCACCAGGUCCAGACACAAUGAGGAUUGACAGAUUGAGAGCUCUUUCUUGAUUUUGUGGGUGGUGGUGCAUGGCCGUUCUUAGUUGGUGGAGUGAUUUGUCUGCUUAAUUGCGAUAACGAACGAGACCUUAACCUGCUAAAUAGCCCGUAUUGCUUUGGCAGUACGCUGGCUUCUUAGAGGGACUAUCGG
rnacentral:rRNA from 1 species